rnacentral:rRNA from 1 species
UACGUAGGGUGCGAGCGUUAAUCGGAAUUACUGGGCGUAAAGUGUGCGCAGGCGGCAAAGCAAGUCGAGUGUGAAAGCCCCGGGCUUAACUUGGGAAUUGCGCUCGAAACUACCUUUGCUGGAGUGGUGGCAGAGGAAGGUGGAAUUCCACGUGUAGCGGUGAAAUGCGUAGAGGAUGUGGAGGAACACCAAUGGCGAAGGCAGC